rnacentral:rRNA from 1 species
UACGGGGGGAGCAAGCGUUGUUCGGAUUUACUGGGCGUAAAGGGCGCGUAGGCGGUCAGCACAAGUCAGUUGUGAAAUCUCCGGGCUUAACUCGGAAAGGUCAACUGAUACUGUGCGACUAGAGUGCAGAAGGGGCAACUGGAAUUCUCGGUGUAGCGGUGAAAUGCGUAGAUAUCGUUUGGAACGCCAAUGGUGAAAACAGGUUGCUGGGGAUGUGCUGACGCUGAGACACGAAAGCCAGGGGAGCAAACGGG